rnacentral:rRNA from 1 species
UCCGUAGGGUAACCUGCGGAGGGAUCAUUACACAAAUAUGAAGGCGGGCUGGAACCUCUCGGGGUUACAGCCUUGCUGAAUUAUUCACCCUUGUCUUUUGCGUACUUCUUGUUUCCUUGGUGGGUUCGCCCACCACUAGGACAAACAUAAACCUUUUGUAAUUGCAAUCAGCGUCAGUAACAAAUUAAUAAUUACAACUUUCAACAACGGAUCUCUUGGUUCUGGCAUCGAUGAAGAACGCAGCGAAAUGCGAUAAGUAGUGUGAAUUGCAGAAUUCAGUGAAUCAUCGAAUCUUUGAACGCACAUUGCGCCCUUUGGUAUUCCAAAGGGCAUGCCUGUUCGAGCGUCAUUUGUACCCUCAAGCUUUGCUUGGUGUUGGGCGUCUUGUCUCUAGCUUUGCUGGAGACUCGCCUUAAAGUAAUUGGCAGCCGGCCUACUGGUUUCGGAGCGCAGCACAAGUCGCACUCUCUAUCAGCAAAGGUCUAGCAUCCAUUAAGCCUUUUUUCAACUUUUGACCUCGGAUCAGGUAGGGAUACCCGCUGAACUUAAGCAUAUCAAUAA